rnacentral:tRNA from 5 species
GCCGACCUAGCUCAACGGUAGAGCAACGGUAUCGUAAACCGUAGGUUCCGGGUUCAAAUCCCGGGGUCGGCUCCA